rnacentral:misc_RNA from 1 species
AAGUCGUAACAAGGUUUCCGUAGGUGAACCUGCGGAAGGAUCAUUACCACGUAAAAAAAAAAUCCAAACCUUUUUUCAUCCAACCCGUCCCUUUGUGAAUUUGGAAAAUAUCAAAAACAAAAAGAUAGAGAGCAACGUGUGUGUGUGUGUGUGAGGAGAGCAUUGGCUCGUUCAUUGCCUCUCCUCACAUUCACCGCUCCCUCCCUCUCUGUCUUUUAUUUUGAAACCCCAUUGUCCGAUUUGAAAAUUCUUGUUCAAACAGACAUCAAAAAACAACAAAAAAAAACCAUGAGACAACUUUUAACGGUGGAUCUCUUGGCUCGU